rnacentral:rRNA from 1 species
GGUAAGGUAACGGCUUACCAAGGCGAUGAUGCAUAGCCCGAGUUGAGAGACUGAUCGGGCCACAUUGGGGACUGAGACACGGGCCCAAAAACUCCUACGGGGAGGCAGCAGUAGGGAAUCUUCCACAAUGGACGCAAGUCUGAUGGAGCAACGCCGCGUGAGUGAAGUAAGGUUUUCGGAUCGUAAAGCUCUGUUGUUGGUGAAGAAGGAUAGAGGUAGUAACUGGCCUUUAUUUGACGGUAAUCAACCAGAAAGUCACGGCUAACUACGUGCUAGCAGCCGCGGGUAAU